rnacentral:lncRNA from 1 species
GAUAAUUAAGAGUUUUAUCUGUGUGUUUUGUCUUCACUGAGCAAAGAAAGGGUAAAUUAAAAUAAAAAUGAUGAGGGAUUUAAGCUGGUAAAGUGAAAAUUUCUGAACCAUUCAGAUGAGUUAUUGGGGAAGCCUGAAAAAGGCUUUCAAAUUACAAAAUAAGAGGCUAAAUUGAUGCCUUUCUAGUGGGGUGAUUACAUAGUUAAGCUUAUUUUAUUUUAUUUUUUUGUACUGGGAAUUGAACUCAGGGCAUUCAUCCCCAGCCCUAUUUAAUAUUUAUUUAGAGACAGGGUCUCACUGAGAUGCUUAGCACCUCACCACUGCGGUGGCUAGCUUUGAACUCAAAAUCCUCCUGUCUCAGCCUCCUAACCUGCUGAUAUUAUAGGUGUGCACCACUGUGCCUUGCUGGUUACUCCUUAUUUUCCUUUUGCUUAGAAGCUAGAGGGUAGAUUGAUUUCUCUUCCACACAAUAUCAGUUGGUUUAAAUGAACUACUUUGCUUUAACUUCAGAUAAUAUCAGUUCAGUUUGUUUUCCAAAUUAGCAAAACAUAGAGUAUGCAUCCUCCCCUCCAUUCCCAUCCCUUUCCUUCCCUCCAUCCCUUUCCUUCCUCCCUCCCUCCCUCUACAGUGCUGGCCAUGGAACCCAAGGCUUCAUACAUAUUAGACUACACCCUACAUUCUGAAUGUCCGUCACCUUUAUGUUAUCCUAAGAAUGCCAUCUAGUAAAUGGGGGCCUGUGCAUCUGAUUCAAUAUCAGAACAGUGGGUCUUCCAUUCAGACUGAGGCUUACAUUCUAACCCUUCAAGUGUGUGAUCCACUCCUGUCCCCUCUCAAAUCUGUCAUUGAAGUGACAAAGAGAUUCAGAACCCCACACCAAAGUGAUCAAGAGCUGGACUUCUCAAACUUUUAAGAAUGUACAGGUCAUCUAGGAAUCCUGCUAACCUGCCCGUGGUGAGGUAGAGGGGCUGGAGCUCUGCAUUUCUAAC